UUAAGUGACUAAGCGUACACGGUGGAUGCCUGGGCAGUCAGAGGCGAUGAAGGACGUACUAACUUGCGAUAAGCGCAGAUAAGGCAGUAAGAGCCGUUUGAGUCUGCGAUUUCCGAAUGGGGAAACCCAACUGCAUAAGCAGUUACUGUUAACUGAAUACAUAGGUUAACAGAGCAAACCGGGGGAACUGAAACAUCUAAGUACCCCGAGGAGAAGAAAUCAACCGAGAUUCCGGUAGUAGCGGCGAGCGAACCUGGAUUAGCCCUUAAGCACUCGGUGAAGUAGGUGAACAAGCUGGAAAGCUUGGCGAUACAGGGUGAUAGCCCCGUAACCGACGCUUCAUCGAGCGUGAAAUCGAGUAGGACGGGACACGUGAUAUCCUGUCUGAAUAUGGGGGGACCAUCCUCCAAGGCUAAAUACUCCUGACUGACCGAUAGUGAACCAG
rnacentral:rRNA from 1 species